UCAUGUUCCCCAAAUUAUUCCAUCACACGCCCUCUUAUCUCAAACUAUCCCACCUCAAACUACCAUAUCUAAUCCUCCCAUAUCUCAACCUCCACCUGAACCUACUCAACCUCAACCCAUUCCUUCAACUCCAGUCGCACCUUCUGUGCAUCAUACUCCAUUUAUUGUCCCUAUUAUGGUCCCUCCUAGGAAAUCAUCUCCAUCUGCUAAUCAAACAUUGGGUACUUCAUCUAGUCAAGUUGGCAUUGGCGGAGAUGAUCAAGAUAGUCGAAUUCAGAUAGAGCCUGAUAG
rnacentral:lncRNA from 1 species